ACGCGGAUUCGCAGCAAGCUUUCGAUAGCAACGCGACUAAUUCGUGACUGAUCGGUAUCGUUUGUUAACGCGAUUGUCGGGAGAUAAAUCGAAUCGAUGCGAGGAGAGGAAGCGAGGGGGAAAAAAGAAAUUCUCUCGCGUCUCUCGUCAAAAGGAAUUCUUCUUCUUCUUCUUCUUCUUCUUCUUCUCCUUCUUCUUCUUCCUCUUCUUGUUGUUCUCUCCUUUCUCGGGGCAAAGGACAUUCCUCCGUUCCGAUUGUACGCGAGAGAAGAGAGGAAGUGAGGAGAGGGAAGGAGGGAGGAGAGGAGAGGGAAGAGGGAGAAAAAAAGAGAGACAACGGGUGUGUUGUCAUCGGGUAGUCGCGAUCAGCAGGAGUAUAUAGCAUCAGGAUCGUGGAAGAGGGUGCAGCAGGAGAGAGAGAUUUUUCCCCACCGCUUGGAAAAACCAACCCCCACCACUCCCGCUUAGUACGGGCAGGCGGCGGUGGCGGCGGCGUGGAAGAGAGGCACGGAGGGGUAGGUUAGCCAGGGUGGUCUCGGUGGUGGCUGGGGGCGGCAGCCUCAAAAAUACACCGCAACCACACCGCGCGGCUCCACCGCAGAAGCCGCCAUCUUCCACCGCCGAACCGAAACGAGACCGCGCGAGUUAAACACCCUAUCCUACUUCCCCGUAGUGGAAGUUGCCGCUGCCACCCGCCCAAGUAUCAGCCACGAAGAAGUGUCUCUCGCCUUCUCGCCCCGUGCUCGAUCGCUGACAACCAAAAGGAAACCCCGAUAAUUUCGAAUUUCGCUCUUAGUCCGCGCGCCACUCCGUCCAUCCGACUCGUCGUCGUCGUCGUCAUCGUCGUCGUCGUCGUCGUCGCAAGAAAAGAAGUUUCGCUUCGACCUCGCUCCGUCUCGAGCCGAAAGGGGAUCGAGAAAGAUCGUCUUCUUUUUUUUUUUUUUUUUUAUUGGAGAUCGUCGGUGAAUAAAUCGGGAAGAGAUUUAGAGAGAAGAGAUCGAGAGCAACGGAACCUUGGGAUUUUUCGAUUUUUCGAUUCGAUAAUCUUUUUUGUGACGAUUGGAAGAGAAAGAGAAGCAAGUGCGCGGUGGACAUGGACGUAUCAUUGGCAAACAAAAACGGGUGACGAACGGUUCAAUCUUUAAAUUAAACGACGAGGAUAAAAGUGGAUCGAUGGUGGUGAACUAUACGCGGAGAGAGAAAGGAAGAGAGAGGAAGAGAGAGAGUUUGGAUACUUGGGAAGAAUAAUGUGCGUAUGUGAGAUUUGUGUUGCGGCUUGUGGGGCUGGCUUGGAGGAUCCCGAGUACAGAGUUAACACCUGUUAGAUGGUCGGGCAGAAGUGCUGAUGUGCGACAGGAACGUGGAGUAAUUUCGAUCGACCGCGGGACAUUGGAGGGAGGGAGAGGGAGAGAGAGAGAGAGAGAGA